AUAAAUUUUAUUUAUUAAAAUUUUUAUUGGAAAUUAAAUUAAUAAAAAUAAUUUUAAAAUUAAUUGUUUAAGUAUUUUUUAAAGAAAAAAUAAUUUUAAUGAUAGCAUAUUUGUAUUGUAAAAGAAAAUUGAAAUAAUUUGAAAAAUUUUUGUUUAAAAAGAAAAUUUCAUUUAUUGUACCUUGUGUAUCAGGGUUUAUUAAAUAAUUAAUUAUUAUAUUAAUUUUUCUCGAAUUUUAAAGAUUUAAUUAUAUAAAAAAGUUACUGUAAAAUAAUUAUUUUUAAUAUAUAAUUAGAAAUGAAACGUUAAUCGUUUUAAAAUAUAUCUAGUUUUUUAAGAAAUGAAUUUAAUUUAGAUUUAUAAAUUUAAUAAUUUUAUUAAUAAAAAUUAUUGUUUUUAUAAAAUUAAUAUUUUAAGGGAUUAGCUUUAAAAUAAAUUUUUAUAUUUAAAUUAAAAAAAUAAUAAAUGUAAGCUUAAGAUUAGUUAUCAUUUAUAAGUUUGUUAUAAAUUAUUAUAUUAUUUUUAUUAUUUAUUUUAAAUUAAAUAAUUUAUUAAAAUAUAAAUUAUAAUAUAAAAAAUUUAAAAAUUAUGAUAAAAUUAGUAUAUAAAUAUUUGUUAAAAUAAAUUAUUUAAUAUGAAAGGUUUAAAUAAGGAAUUCGGCAAAUUAUGUGUUCACCUGUUUAUCAAAAACAUGUCUUUUUGAAUUUAAUUUAAAGUCUAACCUGCCCACUGAAAUUUUAAAGGGCCGCAGUAUUUUGACUGUGCGAAGGUAGCAUAAUCAAUAGUCUUUUAAUUGAAGGCUUGUAUGAAUGGUUGAAUGAGGCACAUACUGUCUUUUUUAAAAUUAAAUAGAAAUUUAUUUUUUAAUUAAAAAGUUAAAAUAAUUUUAAAGGACGAGAAGACCCUAUAGAUCUUUAUUUUUAUUUAUUUUAAAUAAAAAAGAAUAAAAAUUUUUAUAAUAAAUUAAAAAUUUUACUGGGGUGGUAUUAAAAUUUAAUUAACUUUUAAAGUUAUUUAACAUAAAUAUAUGAGUAAUUGAUCCAAUUUUAUUGAUUAAAAAAUUAAGUUACCUUAGGGAUAACAGCGUAAUUUUUUUUUAGAGUUCUUAUCGAUAAAAAAGAUUGCGACCUCGAUGUUGGAUUAAGAGUUAAUUUUGGGUGUAGAAGUUCAAAGUUUAAGUCUGUUCGACUUUUAAAUUCUUACAUGAUCUGAGUUCAAACCGGUGUAAGCCAGGUUGGUUUCUAUCCUUAAUAAAUAAUUAUAUUAUAGUACGAAAGGACCUAAUAUAAAAAAUAUAAAUUUUAAAAUUAAGAAUUUUAUUAAAUUUUGAU
rnacentral:rRNA from 1 species